CGGUCCUCUCUGAAAUAAAACGUUAAACGGAUGAAAUCUUGGAAACAGCGGCGAUUAAUUUGUCUGGUUUUAAAUACGAGUCGCAUUUUUCAAUUAGAUAAUGCAAUAUGUUUUCGAAUAUACAGCAGGCGUUUUUUAAAUAAUACAGCAGGGCAGAUACAUUGUGCACGUACUAGCACGGCGUCGGAAACGCGAGACUCCGGGAACUCGAGUUCUCCGAUAACCUUAGCUCGCCGUCGUGCACGCGGCGAUCGUUUCACUUUUUUAGUCUCCACAUUUUGACGUUCCGAGUUUUGCAUUCGUACUUGGCUGCGUGUUGCUUGAUACUAGAAUCGUCGCGGAAUCGUGGUACGCAUAAUCUGCACAUGUUACGAUCAUGGCAAACAGACAGACGAAUCUGAAGUUAAACCGGUACGAAAGCAAAUACGACGAAGUUGGUCGUUGAACGUGAUAUGAGAAAUCCGUCGAUAAUACUUUCGAUUCAAUUGAGAGUGUUGUUAGAAUCUUCUGUAGGUUCAGAUCGUCGAGAUCUGAAUAUUUUUAAAUUCGAGAGACACUGGAAAAUCAGUUUUCUUGUUUUCUUUUCUUACAAUUCUGUUUUCGAUUUGCAAUUUUCCCCGACCUAGAUUCUUGGAUCAUAGAAGAAGAAGAGCCUCUCCAUGUCGAGCUAUUAUUCUGAGCGCGUCGAACGUUCCAAGUACGAGAUAUAGUUCGAUCAAUCGAUACUGAAGUGAUCUCUCGAAUCACUUUCAGCGUGGAUUGAGAACGUACUCUUGAACACGGAGCUUGCGAGCGCAAUGAUGAUAAACGAAAGAAACUUUCUGGAGAGGAGUUUUCGUCAGUGUGUGAAAAUUCAAUUUGUACAGAAAUGAAAUAGCAUUAUAAUUACGUAGAGAAAGAUCAAACUGUAUUAUAUUGUACACAAUUAUAUUCCAUGAUCGUAAUAAAAUUUGUUCUCGAGUGUUUGCAUUAUUUACUGCAGCCAUGAAGGAAAAUUCAGUCAUUCGAAAUUCACAUCAUACAGUUCAUUCAUCUCGUAAUAGUAUCAAAUAAUCUGGGUUAGAAAUUUUACAGGCUAUAGGAAGAUAAGAAGACGAAGAGUAUAUUAUACGAAUGUGUAUCUGACAGGCCGCAAUAAACGUUCAUUCAGUUUGA